rnacentral:rRNA from 1 species
GACGUAGGAGGCGAGCGUUGUCCGGAUUCAUUGGGCGUAAAGAGCGCGCAGGCGGCUUGGUAAGUCGGAUGUGAAAUCCCGAGGCUCAACCUCGGGUCUGCAUCCGAUACUGCCCGGCUAGAGGUAGGUAGGGGAGAUCGGAAUUCCUGGUGUAGCGGUGAAAUGCGCAGAUAUCAGGAGGAACACCGGUGGCGAAGGCGGAUCUCUGGGCCUUACCUGACGCUCAGGCGCGAAAGCGUGGGGAUCAAACAGG